rnacentral:lncRNA from 1 species
AUGCUUACAGACAGAGAUAUAGGUACAGUUACAGACAUGGAUAGUUAUAUACUUAGAUAUAGACACAAUUACAGAUGCAGAUAUAGAUAUAUUACAGAUAUAGGUAUAGUUACAGAUAUAGUUACAGACUUAGAUAUAGAUACAAUUACAGAUGCUGAUAUAGAUACAAUUACAGAUACAGAUAUAGGUACAGUUACAGACAUGGAUAGUUAUAUACUUAGAUAUAGACACAAUUACAGAUGCAGAUACAGAUAUAUUACAGAUAUAGGUAUAGUUACAGAUAUAGUUAUAGACUUAGAUAUAGAUACAAUUACAGAUGCUGAUAUAGAUACAAUUCCAGAUACAGAUAUAGGUACAGUUACAGAAAUAGUUACAGACUUAGAUACAAUUACAUAUAAAGAUGUAGAUAUACAUACAAUUAGACAUAGACACAGUCACAGAUGCAGACAUCCCACUUCUAUAUUUCCUUAGUCCCGAUGAUUUUCAUGCACACUGCUCUCGUCUGUCCACCAGUCUUCCAGCAUCAGUGUGCCCUUGGCACAGGGCUUUCCCAGGCCACCUGGGUCUACUCUGCAAGUGCCAGGGGAUAAAGGCCUCCUACACUGGCCCAACCACUGGCUGAAAGGAGCUGAUGCCUCAGAGUUCAGCUUCCUCUUUCCUCGGAGUGACAACUCCAAGGUUUGUGCUCAGGACUGCCUCCCAGGGCUAAAGCUCCAAUACUCUGGCCACCUAACGUGAAGAACUAACUCAUUGGAAAAGACCCUUAUGCUGGGAAAGAAUGAAGGCAGGAGGAGAAGGGGAUGACAGAGGAUGAGAUAGUUGGAUGGCAUCACUGACUCGAUGGCCAUGAGUUUGAGUAAGCUCCAGGAGUUGGUGAUGGACAGGGAGGCCUGGCGUGCUGCGGUCCAUGGGGUUGCAAAGAGUCGGACACGACUGAGCGGCUGAACAAUACUAAUAAGGACAGGACAUUCCAGACUUAAUUUGACCAGAAUAGAAAGACAUGGAAUGAUCUGGUAACAUUUUUUGGUGAGUAAUACAUAUACUACAGAAGUUAAAAAUCUCCAUUCUAAUUCAGAUCACAAUCUGUUAUCUUGAAUGAAGUUACAUGACAUCAAAGUGGGCAUACUAUGAGCAGAAAGACUUUCCCCAGAAUGUUAGGUUAGUCUCUGAAUAGGGGACCACUCUCACCCUGAUAAGGCUUCUCAAAGUGGCAGAUGACAGGGUCAGUUAACCCCAGCUUCCAGUGGGGGGAUUAUUUCAAUCCGACUAGAAGCAGAUGUUGGGGCUUCCCCAAGGGCUCAGUGGUAAAGAAUUUGCCUGCAAUGCAAGAAAUGCAGGACACACAGAUUCGAUCCCUGGGUCUUGAACAUCCCCUGGAGGAGGAAGUGGCAACAGACUCCAGUAUUCUUGCCUGGAGAAUACCAUGGACAAAGGAGCUUGGUGGGCUACAGUCCAUGAGGUCGCAAACAAUCGGAUGCGAAUGAGCAACUGAACACACAGACACUGAUGUUAACUCAUUUCGGUAACUUCUUCUUGAACAACAGUAAAAGACAUGCAAGCUGGGACAAUCCAAGCCUUGAGAUUUUGAGGAGAAAAAAAACAGCAUUAACAUUUUGGCAUAUACCAUGAUAUGUGGUACAAUAGCCAACGAGUCUGAGUGAACUCCGGGAGUUGGUGAUGGACGGGGAGGCCUGGUGUGCUGCGAUUCAUGGGGUCGCAAACAGUCGGACACGACUGAGCAACUGAUCUGAUCUGAUCUGACGCAUACUAGCCUGAUUAAGAAAAACCCAACCAACUAACAACAACAACAACAAAAAACCCGAGUAAAUAUAAUACAUAUUGCUGAAUUACAUUUCAGCAAUCAUGUCAAACUAGAUACAGUUAAAGUCAGAAAACUUCCAUCAGUUUUUCUUACCUCUAUGGCACCCAAACUGGUAAAAAUAGGAUGAGUCCUGGCAUGUAACCCUUGUAAAGCUCUUACCUAAUUUUGGGGGCUCACGAAGUAAUAUGCCAGAGGCAGUUUAACAGAGGACAGGUAAAUUUCCCCGACAUUCUCUGAAUCAUGUCUUCACGCAGAUUGUACGUCCUGUAAUUUCACAAAACGCUGCCAGAGAUAAGAUGCUUAGAGAGGACAUGGAUACAAAUUGAGAUGAAACGUGCUCUCUGUUAUCUGGCCUUUCUUCAAGGGGCAUUUAAAAGAAUAACAAGAGCCUUUCUACUGUAAAUCAUCAAAGACUCUUUCAGGCUUCUCCAGCGUUCCAGUGUACAUGAGGUUGUUCAGAAGUUCUGCGUCACGAUCAUCGUGGGCGCCAGGAGUUCCCUUGCGUGUCAAAGUGUACACUGUGACCAAGUUAUUCAUCGGAUUCACCUCAUUCCAUGAAAAACCAGUGGAAAUUAUUAAGCAGCCUUACUCUUUGGGGUGGUACGGAUAUGAUGUUUAAAUACUGAAAGCAUUUUGCUUAUUAAACAGAACAAUUCCCUAUUCAGCAUGUAGUUAGGCAAAGUAAACACUUGGUGUUUAGACAGUCGAGAUAACGUUAUAUUCUAUGUCACCCAAAAUU